CCAUAUGAAUAAUGAUCGGCUAACUCCGAGCCCGCAACCGCCGCAAUACGGAGGAUCCGAGCGUUAUCNGGAUUAUUGGGUUUAAAGGGAGCGUAGAUGGGUUGUUAAGUCAGUUGUGAAAGUUUGCGGCUCAACCGUAAAAUUGCAAUUGAUACUGGCAGUCUUGAGUACAGUUGAGGUAGGCGGAAUUCGUGGUGUAGCGGUGAAAUGCUUAGAUAUCACGAAGAACUCCGAUUGCGAAGGCAGCUUACUAACCUGUAACUGACAUUGAUGCUCGAAAGUGUGGGUAUCAAACAGGAUUAGAUACCCUGGUAGUCCACACGGUAAACGAUGAAUACUCGCUGUAGGCGAUAUACGGUCUGCGGCCAAGCGAAAGCAUUAAGUAUUCCACCUGGGGAGUACGCCGGCAACGGUGAAACUCAAAGGAAUUGACGGGGGCCCGCACAAGCGGAGGAACAUGUGGUUUAAUUCGAUGAUACGCGAGGAACCUUACCCGGGCUUAAAUUGCAACCGAAUAUGGCGGAAACGCCAUAGCUAGCAAUAGCGGUUGUGAAGGUGCUGCAUGGUUGUCGUCAGCUCGUGCCGUGAGGUGUCGGCUUAAGUGCCAUAACGAGCGCAACCCUUGCCGAUAGUUACUAACAGGUUAUGCUGAGGACUCUGUCGGGACUGCCAUCGUAAGAUGUGAGGAAGGUGGGGAUGACGUCAAAUCAGCACGGCCCUUACGUCCGGGGCUACACACGUGUUACAAUGGGGGGUACAGAGGGCUGCUACCACGCAAGUGGAUGCCAAUCCCAAAAACCUCUCUCAGUUCGGAUUGAAGUCUGCAACCCGACUUCAUGAAGCUGGAUUCGCUAGUAAUCGCGCAUCAGCCACGGCGCGGUGAAUACGUUCCCGGGCCUUGUACACACCGCCCGUCAAGCCAUGGGAGCCGGGGGUACCUGAAGUGCGUAACCGCAAGGAGCGCCCUAGGGUAAAACUGGUGACUGGGG
rnacentral:rRNA from 1 species